GGAAAAUGGGAGCCAGUAACUUAGAUCAGUGUCUCUUCAGACUCCAUCACUAAUUACAUUGUGUGACAUUUUAGGAGCUCUCUGCUGAGCAAGUACCUAGUACUUGUGUAUUGCAAACAGACAGGCUCUUUCCUCUAAAGUCUGAGCCACUAAGAAGCAUCUCUCCUGUUGCUAUAAAGACAGGAAGCCCAGCCCUCGUAGAAGAAAGCACAAUGCAGAUACGCAAUUGUUUCUUGGUGAUUAUGCUUUGGGAUUAGUUCUAGGAUCCCCGCGGAUGCUGAAGACUCCUAUGUGAGAUUUAUUAUAUAAGUAUUGGCAUUCUACCUACGCACUUCCUCCUGUGUGCUUUAUCUCUAGAUUACUUAUAACACCAAGCACCGAGUUAGUCUAUGUAAAUAGCUAUUUUUAUUAUUUCGAGAAUGGUGCCCAGAGAAAAAGUCGGCGUAUAUUCAGGAGAGACGUAGCCAUGGUAGGCCUGGGUUCGUGGUCCACGGCAGGUACAACACAACAUUUUCCCCCAGUAUUUUUGAUCCAAAGUUGGCUAAAGCCAGAGCCGAGAAAACUGGAAACGAAAGGCAGCUGCCCAGAGGAAGGGUCAGUUGGCGGCUAAGAGAUUAAAUUCACAGACUCGUUUUUCUUACUCUACGUUCACAGCACAGAUUACUUUUGUAAUAACAGAAGUUGGGCUUUCUUUGCACCAACAAGCAAGCUCCCACUUGUACAGUAGGGGAUGCCAGCUGAGCUUCCUUGGGUCCAGUUCAGUUCCGCCCGUGGAAACCUGGACGUAGAGCUGAUCACACAGGUCUGAAGCUCAGUUCCCCUCUUCCUUCCGCUGCCUCCAGAUGCCAGCCACACGCCUAGGUGUUUCCACCUGGGCUUCUCACCGGCCUGCCGUGACUGACAACCUCCUCCUCUCCGUGUUCAUUGAUUUGCUUCGUCUGAUCACAGAACGGCAGGAAAACACACUCAUGAAUGAACUGGCAAGGACAUCAAGGGCACCAUGAGGAGAUGCGGAGCCAGGGGUGGGAGAGGCCACGCCCUUCCUUAGUGCCUUACCCGGCCCUGCGGGAGUCCCCAUGUUCUCCUCCCAGAUGCCCUCCAGGCCUUGUCUCUGUGGGUUUCAGAGAAGACUUCAUUCGUAGGUGGGACUGCAGCACGGAGGACGGUGUGACUGUGAUCGGAGGGAAAGAACUUGAUCUAAUGCCGAUAGACAGGAAGACAGCCAGGCCUCUUGCUACAGAUGUUCUGGCCUCUUGUACAGCACUCCUUUCGCAGAUGCAGAAAGGACUCCUUCUGAAAUAGGGAUCUUAUCAUCAGAGAAUCUGCAGACAGUCUUAAGACCAAAGUAGGCUAUACUGAAUUUCCGUCACAGUUGACUGCCUUCAGACCACAGGCAGCUAUGAAAGAACAAAAAAGGAUGUUCCUUCUGAAAACGGUGUCUACCCUUUUAACCAUCUGACUAACAUAUGUACAGAUGUCCAGACCUCACCUCAUACCUGGGGGCAUCUUCUGGCAGUGUCUCACUACGUCUUUCAAGCUGGAUUGAACUCACUAUGUAGCUCAGGCUGGCCUCAAACUCUCAGCGAUCCUCCUGCCUCUGCCUCCCAGGUGCUGGGAUUACAGGUGUGCACCAUCACAUCUGGCUGGUUCAACUUUAUUAUGAUGUAACAGCAGUAAACACUCAACAGAAACCACACUUCCAAUGUUUUCUUCCUUGCCUCUCACACUCCCUCCUUUUUUUUUUCCUCUUUAUG